rnacentral:rRNA from 1 species
AGAGUUUGAUCAUGGCUCAGGAUGAACGCUAGCUACAGGCUUAACACAUGCAAGUCGAGGGGCAGCAUGUUGGUUGCUUGCAACCAACGAUGGCGACCGGCGCACGGGUGAGUAACGCGUAUCCAACCUACCCUUGUCCAUCGGAUAACCCGUCGAAAGGCGGCCUAACACGAUAUGCGGUUCACGGCAGGCAUCUAAGGUGAACGAAAUGUGAAGGAGAAGGAUGGGGAUGCGUCUGAUUAGCUUGGUUGGCGGGGUAACGGCCACAAGGCUACGAUCAGUAGGGGUUCUGAGAGGAAGGUCCCCCANAUUGGAACUGAGACACGGUCCAAACUCAUACGGGAGCA